rnacentral:lncRNA from 1 species
GGUACCCGCCCGCGCCCUCGCGCGUCGGCCAGGAACCUCGGCCCCAUGCGGGCGGGCCAGCGCGGCCAGGAGGGCCGGGAAGAGGGGUCCCCGGGGCCCCGGAUGCGCUGAACUCCGGGGAGGGGAUGGGCAGGAGAGAGAGCACACUCCUGGAGCCGCGACGUCCAAACCCGGACGCACUUGAACCCGCAGCGAGGCCCGUGGCUCGCGGCCUUCGGAGAGCACCCGCGCCCCGCGCAGACCGGACGCCGGCCUUGCCCGAUCCUCGGCAUCCUUCGGCGGGGCGAUACGUGAUCAUUUAACACACGGGUGUUAAGUUCAUUCUUGCUGCAAAAGAAGGCCAUUGUACCUCCUGACCCUGAAAGCAAGAACUGUGUCUCUUUAAAUCUACUGAGGAAGAUAUUCCUUCUGGCCCACAGGAUGCCAAAAUGACUUGAUGAUUUAUUUAUGCAGCACUUGGCAGCCUAUAGUCCAGAUUGUGGCUGAAGCUGAAUUUUAUGAGCCUUCCCCUAGGACACUGGAUUUUGUGGAUGCUCCUUGGACACACUGGAAUGCACCUUGGGCAGCCCGUGGAUCAUUUUCCCCAGUAUGAAGCAUGGGAGGAGCUGGAAAAUGAACUCAUGAGCCAGUUGAGCCAGCACAACAAGCUGGAGCCAGGAUAUGCAGCUGGGAGCGAGUGUCCAGCCAACAGCCCGUGUCUCAGGCCCUGCCAGGGGAUGAAUCAAUUAGCAAGAGAAGCAAUGAUGCAAAUGCUCCGGGGUCACUUGGGAUGCUGUUUGCCUUUUUGAUAGAGAAAGCACACCAUAAAUAACAUCACACCUCAGGAAAUCAUUCCAGGAGGCCCCGAUGCUGGCAGGGCUGCUGCCAGGGACGGAAGGAAUCGUUUGCUCAUUGUGUGUAUUUCCCCCAGCUCAGUCAAUGGGAGAUUUGUAGUAAAAUCAAAGUAUUUAAAAGGAGGACAGUAUGUGGUAACAGAGGCAUGUUUAGCAAUUUUUUUAGUACCAGAACCUGUGAUUUAUGACCCAGAGUUACAGCCAACUUUAUUACAAAAAUGACUUCACCCAUAAUAACCUUAUUCAGGGCCCUCUGAUGAAUGAUGUAGUAUCCAACAGCAUUAUAAUCUAGUAAAUAUUCAAACACAAUUCCCGCCUCCGCCUCAUUUCCAACCAACCCCUCAGAAGCAGGCUUCCCCCUUUACCUGCUGGGAGAAGUGGGGUCCUGGGUAAGGCUUUGUGCUCUGUCUGUGGGAGUUUGCCUGGAUCAGGCAUUUAUACUAAGCCAGGACAGAAAGUGACCUCCUGGGGUCUCAGUCAUAUCUUGUCCAACCUUGUCCCCUGAGGAGUAAUGAGCAGAAGACACCCACUCACCCUUCAUUUCCUCUCUGUGCUGAAACUUAUUUCCUCCCUGCAUUCCCCCACUCCUCCAGAGCUCAGAUCCCCACCACCUGAAAGGAGCUCCAGUAAGCUCCCUGACAUUUUUAAUUGCCAUGGUAACUGAGGGCUGCACUAAAACCGCCAGGGCUGGGUGUCCAAGCAGGGUCCCCUGGGCGUACCGGGAUCUAGAAACUAGCCCUCCAUCUUAUUAAACUCCGGUGUCAGUUCCUAGCAAUUGUUUUAAAUUUACACCCUCAGAGUGGCUUAGUGGGAUUACAUGUCCAUUUGCAUUAAAACAGUUUUCUGUCAUUAAA